AUUGAACGCUGGCGGCGUGCCUAACACAUGCAAGUCGGGCGGUAACAGGCGUAGCAAUACAUGCUGACGAGCGGCGAACGGGUGAGUAAUGCUUCGGAAUCUACCUUAUGGUGGGGAAUAACUAGCCGAAAGGUUAGCUAAUACCGCAUACGUCCUACGGGAGAAAGCAGGGGAUCGCAAGACCUUGCGCCAAAAGAUGAGCCGAAGUCGGAUUAGCUGGUUGGUAGGGUAACGGCCUACCAAGGCGACGAUCCGUAGCUGGUCUGAGAGGACGACCAGACACACUGGGACGGAGACACGGCCCGGACUCCUACGGGAGGCAGCAGUGGGGAAUAUUGGACAAUGGGGGAAACCCUGAUCCAGCGACGCCGCGUGUGUGAAGAAGGCCUGCGGGUUGUAAAGCACUUUUAGUGGGGACGAAAUGUGCAGGGUUAAUACCUCUGCAUUUUGACCUAACCCACAGAAAAAGCACCGGCUAACUCUGUGCCAGCCGCCGCCGUAA
rnacentral:rRNA from 1 species